UCCUCGAGAUAGGAGCCGAUCAGCCGG
rnacentral:sRNA from 1 species